rnacentral:rRNA from 1 species
AGGAAAUAGAUACCCGGGUAGUCCCAGCUGUAAACGAUGCAGGCUAGGUGUUUGGACGGCCACGUGCCGUUCUAGUGCCGCAGGGAAGCUGUUAAGCCUGCCGCCUGGGGAGUACGAUCGCAAGAUUGAAACUUAAAGGAAUUGGCGGGGGAGCACCACAAGGGGUGAAGCUUGCGGUUUAAUUGGAGUCAACGCCGGAAAUCUCACCGGGAGCGACAGCAGUGUGAAGGCCAGAUUAAAGGUCUUGCCAGACGAGCUGAGAGGAGGUGCAUGGCCGUCGCCAGUUCGUGCCGUGAGGCGUCCUGUUAAGUCAGGCAACGAUCGAGACCCGCAUCCUCUGUUGCAACCAGUUUUGAGCUGGGCACACUGAGGAGACCGCCACUGAUAAAGUGGAGGAAGGAGCGGGCCACGGCAGGUCAGUAUGCCCCGGAAUCUCCCGGGCCACACGCGAGCUGCAAUGGCAGGUACAAUGGGUUCCGACCUCGAAAGGGG